UCCGGAAUAGCUCAGUUGGGAGAGAGUUAGAUUGAAGAUCUAAAGCUCCCUGGUUCGAUCCAGGGUUCUGGCA
rfam:TPA: Bos taurus chromosome X, whole genome shotgun sequence.